rnacentral:lncRNA from 1 species
GAUAAUGAAUCACAAAAUUCAUCUCGACCAACACUAAUUGAGAGCCCACCCCUUGGAGAAGUAUGGAAGUUGCCUUUGAAUACUAGUUUUGUUCUUGGAGAAUUGGAUGGUAUAGAGCUUAACUACGUUAAGUCAUCUACUUAGGCUGUUCUUUGUGGUGGAAUAUGGAGAUUUCCUAUGAAUGCUAGACUUGAUCUAUUUUUUUAUGUUAUGUUGUAGUUGUUAUCGUCAUUUGCUCUAUUUUAUUUUUUUUAAAUAUCUAUUUUCUUAAUUGUUCUGUACUUUCAACCAGAUUUAAUGAUCAAUAGAUUUUUUUUUCUUAUUGUUUCUAUACUAUUAUUUAAGAUGUGAUUUUGCAUAUUUGUCUUGUUCUCCACAGUUUUUUUUCCUUAUCUUAAAAAAAAGGUUUACUAAAGUUGUUAGACAAAGAACACACCAUAAAAACAAUAACCCAACCAUUUAGUUUAUCAUGUUUCUCCACAAUUUUAGUAAAUCUUUAUAGCAGAAAUGAUGCUUUU